rnacentral:tRNA from 1 species
GCACUAGUAGCUCAGACUCAGAGCGUCGGUCUUGUAAACCGAAUGUCGAGGGUUAAAAUCCCCCCUUGUGCU